rnacentral:rRNA from 1 species
AAAAACAUGUCUCUUUGACUAUACAAACAUAAAGAGUCAGGCCUGCCCGGUGAAUAAGUUUUUAACGGCCGCAGUAUCCUAACUGUGCGAAGGUAGCAUAAUAAUUUGCCCUAUAAUUGGGGGCUAGAAUGAAAGGUUAAACGAGAGCGUAACUGUCUCUACAUUAAUUUUUCAGAAUUUGAUUUCUAGGUGAAGAAACCUAGAUAACAUUAAAAGACAAGAAGACCCUAUUGAGCUUUAAAAAAAAUAAAUAGGAUUAAUUGCAUAAUUAAAUUUAACUAUUUAGUAUUUUGGUUGGGGCGACCAAGGAACAACCAAAACUUCCUUAUAAUUUUAAAUCCUACAAAUGAUCCAAUACACAUUGAUCAAAGAAAUUAGUUACCAUAGGGAUAACAGCAUAAUCUCCUUUGCGAGUACCUAUUGAAAAGGGGGUUUGUGACCUCGAUGUUGGACUAAAAUAUCCUGAAGACGCAGCAGUCUUCAAGGGUUGGUCUGUUCGACCAUUAAAAUUUUACGUGAU